AUAAUCCUGUAGUCGAAAAUGUUGUCUCUCUUGAGUGGAUCCUGAGUACGACGGAGCACGUGAAAUUCCGUCGGAAUCUGGGAGGACCAUCUCCUAAGGCUAAAUACUCUCUAGUGACCGAUAGUGAACCAGUACCGUGAGGGAAAGGUGAAAAGCACCCCGGAAGGGGAGUGAAAUAGAACCUGAAACCGUGUGCUUACAAGUAGUCAGAGCCCGUUAAUGGGUGAUGGCGUGCCUUUUGUAGAAUGAACCGGCGAGUUACGAUUUGAUGCAAGGUUAAGCAGUAAAUGUGGAGCCGUAGCGAAAGCGAGUCUGAAUAGGGCGUUUAGUAUUUGGUCGUAGACCCGAAACCAGGUGAUCUACCCUUGGUCAGGUUGAAGUUCAGGUAACACUGAAUGGAGGACCGAACCGACUUACGUUGAAAAGUGAGCGGAUGAACUGAGGGUAGCGGAGAAAUUCCAAUCGAACCUGGAGAUAGCUGGUUCUCUCCGAAAUAGCUUUAGGGCUAGCCUCAAGUGAUGAUUAUUGGAGGUAGAGCACUGUUUGGACGAGGGGCCCCUCUCGGGUUACCGAAUUCAGACAAACUCCGAAUGCCAAUUAAUUUAACUUGGGAGUCAGAACAUGGGUGAUAAGGUCCGUGUUCGAAAGGGAAACAGCCCAGACCACCAGCUAAGGUCCCAAAAUAUAUGUUAAGUGGAAAAGGAUGUGGCGUUGCCCAGACAACUAGGAUGUUGGCUUAGAAGCAGCCAUCAUUUAAAGAGUGCGUAAUAGCUCACUAGUCGAGUGACACUGCGCCGAAAAUGUACCGGGGCUAAACAUAUUACCGAAGCUGUGGAUUGUCCUUUGGACAAUGGUAGGAGAGCGUUCUAAGGGCGUUGAAGCAUGAUCGUAAGGACAUGUGGAGCGCUUAGAAGUGAGAAUGCCGGUGUGAGUAGCGAAAGACGGGUGAGAAUCCCGUCCACCGAUUGACUAAGGUUUCCAGAGGAAGGCUCGUCCGCUCUGGGUUAGUCGGGUCCUAAGCUGAGGCCGACAGGCGUAGGCGAUGGAUAACAGGUUGAUAUUCCUGUACCACCUAUAAUCGUUUUAAUCGAUGGGGGGACGCAGUAGGAUAGGCGAAGCGUGCGAUUGGAUUGCACGUCUAAGCAGUAAGGCUGAGUAUUAGGCAAAUCCGGUACUCGUUAAGGCUGAGC
rnacentral:rRNA from 1 species